UAUUACCUAAAUUAAAACAUGUUUUAAAAUUUUUAUUUAAAAAGCAUUUUAACUUUUGCUUUAAAAAAAAAAAACCCUAAAUGCCUUGUAUGUUUUCUCAUCUCCCUCACUCUCCCUUUACUCUCCAGCCGAAAGGCUAGUGCCCAGGGCCUCCAUUCGUGACCAGCGAAGGCUCGCCGACGGUGCGAGCACGGUGCGACUCCGAUCGUGGAGGAGAGCGUCGUGGGGCAUGGUGCAUGCUGCACAUGGGCUAGGGGUCGUGCUUGAUAUGCCGACGUACGUGGUGGAGGGACGCUGAACGUAGAGGCUGCGAUGCAAGGCAAUAGCCUAGGGUUUUCCAUGUUUUUCUGACUUAGGCUAUUGGGCUUGUGCAAUUGAUUUUUUUUGGGCCUAGUGUAAUUAAAAUAAUUUAAUGGAUUGUUUAAUUUUUUUUGUUUGAUUUUGGUUUCCCUAUGGGCCGAGCAAAAUUCGGGUCUUACAAUAA